rnacentral:rRNA from 1 species
AACGAACGCUGGCGGCAGGCCUAACACAUGCAAGUCGAACGCCCUCUUCGGAGGGAGUGGCAGACGGGUGAGUAACGCGUGGGAACCUACCUUACGGUACGGAAUAACUUCGGGAAACCGGAGCUAAUACCGUAUACGCCCUACGGGGGAAAGAUUUAUCGCCGUUUGAUGGGCCCGCGUCGGAUUAGCUAGUUGGUGGGGUAAUGGCCUACCAAGGCGACGAUCCGUAGCUGGUUUGAGAAGAUGAUCAGCCACACUGGGACUGAGACACGGCCCAGACUCCUACGGGAGGCAGCAGUGGGGAAUAUUGGACAAUGGGCGCAAGCCUGAUCCAGCCAUGCCGCGUGAGUGACGAAGGCCUUAGGGUUGUAAAGCUCUUUCAGCGGGGAAGAUAAUGACGGUACCCGCAGAAGAAGCCCCGGCUAACUCCGUG